rnacentral:tRNA from 1 species
UUAAAUUUAGUAUAAGAUAAGAGUAUAGUUAAUUGCAAAUUAAUUGGUUUGAAGGAGUUUAAA